ACUCCUACGGGAGGCAGCAGUGGGGAAUAUUGGACAAUGGGGGAAGCCCUGAUCCAGCCAUGCCGCGUGUGUGAAGAAGGCCUUAUGGUUGUAAAGCACUUUAAGCGAGGAGGAGGCUACUAGUAUUAAUACUACUGGAUAGUGGACGUUACUCGCAGAAUAAGCACCGGCUAACUCUGUGCCAGCAGCCGCGGUAAUACAGAGGGUGCGAGCGUUAAUCGGAUUUACUGGGCGUAAAGCGUGCGUAGGCGGCCAUUUAAGUCAAAUGUGAAAUCCCCGAGCUAACUUAGGAAUUGGCAAUUCUGAUACUGGAUGGCUAGAGUAUGGGAGAGGAUGGUAGAAUUCCAGGUGUAGCGGUGAAAUGCGUAGAGAUCUGGAGGAAUACCGAUGGCGAAGGCAGCCAUCUGGCCUAAUACUGACGCUGAGGUACGAAAGCAUGGGGAGCAAACAGGAUUAGAUACCCUGGUAGGCGUAGU
rnacentral:rRNA from 1 species